rnacentral:rRNA from 1 species
AUUGAACGCUGGCGGCAUGCCUAACACAUGCAAGUCGAGCGGAAGCACGGGUGUUUGCCCCUGGUGGCGCGUGGCGCGCGGGUGUGAAGUACAUGGGUAUACCUCAUGUAGUGGGGUAUAGUCCGGCGACGGGCGCGUUUAUACCACAUACGAUGUAAGGGAGAAAGCGGGGUCCCUUGAGGCCUCGCGCUCUGGUGUUGCCCGAUGGCGGAUUAGCGAGUUGGUGGGGUAAAGGCCUACCAAGGCGACGAUCAGUAGCUGGUCUGAGAGGAAGAGCAGACACACUGGGACUGAGACACGGCCCAGACUCCUACGGGAGGCAGCAGUGGGGAAUAUUGGACAAUGGGCGAAAGCCUGAUCCAGCAAUGCCGCGUGUGUGAAGAAGGCCUUCGGAUUGUAAAGCACUUUUAGUCGGGAAGAAGGGCUGUGAGCUAAUACAUUCGUGUGUUGACGGUACCGAAAGAAUAAGCACCGGCUAACUACGUG